GAUGAACGCUGGCGGCGUGCCUAAUACAUGCAAGUCGAGCGAACAGACGAGGAGCUUGCUCCUUUGACGUUAGCGGCGGACGGGUGAGUAACACGUGGAUAACCUACCUAUAAGACUGGGAUAACUUCGGGAAACCGGAGCUAAUACCGGAUAACAUGUUGAACCGCAUGGUUCAACAGUGAAAGACGGUCUUGCUGUCACUUAUAGAUGGAUCCGCGCCGCAUUAGCUAGUUGGUAAGGUAACGGCUUACCAAGGCAACGAUGCGUAGCCGACCUGAGAGGGUGAUCGGCCACACUGGAACUGAGACACGGUCCAGACUCCUACGGGAGGCAGCAGUAGGGAAUCUUCCGCAAUGGGCGAAAGCCUGACGGAGCAACGCCGCGUGAGUGAAGAAGGUCUUCGGAUCGUAAACUCUGUUAUUAGGGAAGAACAAAUGUGUAAGUAACUAUGCACGUCUUGACGGUACCUAAUCAGAAAGCCACGGCUAACUACGUG
rnacentral:rRNA from 1 species